UAUCGUUUAUUUGAUAGUACCUUACUACAUGGAUACCUGUGGUAAUUCUAGAGCUAAUACAUGCUAAAAACCCCGACUUCAGGAAGGGGUGUAUUUAUUAGAUAAAAAACCAACGCCCUUCGGGGCUCCUUGGUGAAUCAUAAUAACUUAACGAAUCGCAUGGCCUUGCGCCGGCGAUGGUUCAUUCAAAUUUCUGCCCUAUCAACUUUCGAUGGUAGGAUAGUGGCCUACCAUGGUGGCAACGGGUAACGGGGAAUUAGGGUCGAUUCCGGAGAGGGAGCCUGAGAAACGGCUACCACA
rnacentral:rRNA from 1 species